UCCUAGUUAGCUUAGUUGGUAGUGCGUCUGCCUCGUAAGCGCUAGGCCGCGGGUUCGAUUCCCGCCCGGGGCG
rnacentral:tRNA from 1 species